AACCGGGAGAGGUAAGAGGUACUACAGGGGUAGGAGUGAAAUCUUGUAAUCCCUGUGGGACCACCUGUGGCGAAGGCGUCUUACCAGAACGGGUUCGACGGUGAGGGACGAAAGCUGGGGGCACGAACCGGAUUAGAUACCCGGGUAGUCCCAGCCGUAAACGAUGCUCGCUAGGUGUCAGGCAUGGCGCGACCGUGUCUGGUGCCGCAGGGAAGCCGUGAAAGCGAGCCACCUGGGAAGUACGGCCGCAAGGCUGAAACUUAAAGGAAUUGGCGGGGGAGCACAACAACGGGUGGAAGCCUGCGGUUUAAUUGGACUCAACGCCGGACAACUCACCGGGGGCGACAGCAAUAUGUAGGCCAAGCUGAAGACUUUGCCUGAAUCGCUGAGAGGAGGUGCAUGG
rnacentral:rRNA from 1 species